rnacentral:rRNA from 1 species
GACGAACGCUGGCGGCGUGCUUAACACAUGCAAGUCGAACGCUGAAGCUUGGUGCUUGCACUGGGUGGAUGAGUGGCGAACGGGUGAGUAAUACGUGAGUAACCUGCCCUUGACUCUGGGAUAAGCCUGGGAAACUGGGUCUAAUACUGGAUACGACAUGUCACCGCAUGGUGGUGUGUGGAAAGGGUUUUACUGGUUUUGGAUGGGCCCACGGCCUAUCAGCUUGUUGGUGGGGUAAUGGCUCACCAAGGCGACGACGGGUAGCCGGCCUGAGAGGGUGACCGGCCACACUGGGACUGAGACACGGCCCAGACUCCUACGGGAGGCAGCAGUGGGGAAUAUUGCACAAUGGGCGGAAGCCUGAUGCAGCGACGCCGCGUGAGGGAUGACGGCCUUCGGGUUGUAAACCUCUUUCAGCACGGAAGAAGCGAAAGUGACGGUACGUGCAGAAGAAGCGCCGGCUAACUACGUG